GACGAACGCUGGCGGCGUGCCUAAUACAUGCAAGUUGAGCGCUGAAGGUUGGUACUUGUACCAACUGGAUGAGCAGCGAACGGGUGAGUAACGCGUGGGGAAUCUGCCUUUGAGCGGGGGACAACAUUUGGAAACGAAUGCUAAUACCGCAUAAAAACUUUAAACACAAGUUUUAAGUUUGAAAGAUGCAAUUGCAUCACUCAAAGAUGAUCCCGCGUUGUAUUAGCUAGUUGGUGAGGUAAAGGCUCACCAAGGCGAUGAUACAUAGCCGACCUGAGAGGGUGAUCGGCCACAUUGGGACUGAGACACGGCCCAAACUCCUACGGGAGGCAGCAGUAGGGAAUCUUCGGCAAUGGACGAAAGUCUGACCGAGCAACGCCGCGUGAGUGAAGAAGGUUUUCGGAUCGUAAAACUCUGUUGGUAGAGAAGAACGUUGGUGAGAGUGGAAAGCUCAUCAAGUGACGGUAGCUACACAGAAAGGGACGGCUAACUACGUG
rnacentral:rRNA from 1 species